rnacentral:lncRNA from 1 species
CUCCAACAGCAUCUAUCAAUCCUGUUAGCUUUCAGUCAUCAGCCAUGGUUCCAAGCAUGGAACUACCAUUUCCUCCUCAUAUGCAGGAACAACAUCAAAGGGAACUCUCUCUACUUCGCAAAAGACUAGAAGAACUGGAAACAACACAAAGAAAACAACUAGAGGAACUUGGAUCUUCCGGAGAAUGAUGUUCUUGGAGAACAGGCAGAUCAAAAGAGGUGAAGUUGGUGACUCAGUAAAACUUGACAUUUUAACCUGUGGCAUUUAGAUACUUUUUACUGUUUGCCAAAACACUUGAAUGUGCCUCAAGAAAAGGUACCUACUACAUGCUGUAUUGUAUGACUGUCAGGAUUUUAAGAUUAUACAAGUGAAGCAUUAAAAGAGAAAUUCUCAGAGAUAUUUAGAAUAUUUGACAAUGGUUUGAGAAUGUAAAACAAAAAGGAACUAGUUAGAGUCAAGUUUUAAAAUUUUUACUUUGUUGAAUUUUUUUUUUUGGCAUUUUGAGUGAAAUAUAACUAUCAUUAAUUCUCUCUUCAUCUUUGAGAUGCUUGGCCAUAACAGGGUCCAUACACAUCUUCUGGUUUACUAUAUACAAAAACUGUAGUUGAAAAAAGAUGACAAUUUAAAAGUCAGCCUAAAGAAUGUAAAGGUAUCUAUAUACAAAAGGCUACCUUUUCUAAAAUCUGUGUGCACAUAAUUAAAGAGCUUAAUUUUUUU